ensembl:lncRNA
AGCAGCACCACCGCCUUGCUGACAGAGCCUGUGUGUCCCCCUAGCAACCCCCGACGAAGUUGUGGAGGCCGGAGGGAGAGAGAAGACCAAGGAGGAGGCCCUGGCUGGGGAAACUGAGGAGGAGAUGGGGCUGGGGACUGUGAAGGCGAGGAGGAGGAGGAAAAGGAGGAAGCUGCAGCCAUAGACAAGGCGGAGGAGGAGGCGGGCCCGGCCCAUGAAAAUGACAAGGAGGAGUCGCCAGCCAGCGACCGGGCUGAGCAGGAAGACAAGCCUGCCCCCAAGGUGGACGGGACGGACGAUGAAAGCUUGUGGAGCAUUGUGAGUCUGUGUGGCAGCAACCACGAAGAAAGUGAUACAGGUAAGAACAGCUCUCAGGUAGGGGCCAGUGGGAGAGGGUUCGCGGGACACUUGGGUUAUGCCUGCUGCUUGGAGGGUGGGGCGGGUGAGUCUGCAAUUGAAAAACAGAAAGAAAUUGGUGUAAAGAUGUUCGUCGCCUAUUUUCCUAAGGAGGGGG